UACAGAGACCUCGAGCAUUAUCCGGAUUUAUUGGGCGUAAAGAGCGUGUAGGCGGCCAUGCAGGUCAGCUGUGAAAACUCGAGGCUCAACCUCGAGACGUCGGUUGAAACCGUAUGGCUAGAGUCCGGAAGAGGAGAGUGGAAUUCCCGGUGUAGCGGUGAAAUGCGCAGAUAUCGGGAAGAACACCUAUGGCGAAGGCAGCUCUCUGGGACGGUACUGACGCUGAGACGCGAAAGCGUGGGGAGCAAACAGG
rnacentral:rRNA from 1 species